GCUCCUUUAAGACCAAUCUUCCCUCAGACACUCAAACCUCUUCUCCUCCUUUGAACUGCCUUGCUAAACUUCUUGGUGGCCCGAACCAGCUCUAUGCCUUCAGGAAAAACACGGUCUCCAAGAUUGUGAAGGCCCGAGACGAUAGUUCUUACACGAUCUCCACUCCCCUUUCCUUUUCCACCACAUGUCCUUCAUCUGUAAAAGGUGCGAAAUAUGGGGAGUUUGGGUCAUCCAAGACCGUUGAUCUACCUCUACCGCCGGAGUGGGGACUAGCACCAUCUAGCUACUAUAUUCCUUUCUUCCCCAUCAUCGGUAUACCGUAACUAUUGCAGCAUAAUGAGCAGAUCAAGAAGUGAUUACUAAAAUAUAUAUAAAUAUAAAAGUCUUGCUCUAUCAUGUGAUCUUUGU
rnacentral:lncRNA from 1 species